rnacentral:rRNA from 1 species
UACAGAGGUCUCAAGCGUUGUUCGGAUUUAUUGGGCGUAAAGGGUGUGUAGGUGGCGCUGUAAGUCGGGUGUGAAAUUUCGGAGCUUAACUCCGAAACUGCAUUCGAUACUGCGGUGCUUGAGGACUGGAGAGGAGACUGGAAUUCAUGGUGUAGCAGUGAAAUGCGUAGAGAUCAUGAGGAAGACCAGUGGCGAAGGCGGGUCUCUGGACAGUUCCUGACACUGAGACACGAAGGCCAGGGGAGCAAACGGG